rnacentral:rRNA from 1 species
UACAGAGGUCCCAAGCGUUGUUCGGAUUUACUGGGCGUAAAGGGUGCGUAGGUGGUGGGGUAAGUCUGAUGUGAAAUCUCCGGGCUCAACUCGGAAAUGGCAUUGGAAACUACCUUGCUAGAGGGUUGGAGGGGGACUGGAAUGCUCGGUGUAGCAGUGAAAUGCGUAGAUAUCGAGCGGAACACCAGUGGCGAAGGCGAGUCCCUGGACAACUCCUGACACUGAGGCACGAAAGCUAGGGGAGCAAACAGG